ACUCCUACGGGAGGCAGCAGUGAGGAAUAUUGGGCAAUGGACGAGAGUCUGACCCAGCCAUCCCGCGUGUAGGAAGACGGCCUUAUGGGUUGUAAACUACUUUUAUACAGGAAGAAACGUACCCUCGUGAGGGUGCCUGACGGUACUGUAGGAAUAAGCACCGGCUAACUCCGUGCCAGCAGCCGCGGUAAUACGGAGGGGUGCGAGCGUUAUCCGGAUUUAUUGGGGUUUAAAGGGGUCCGUAGGCGGAUUAAUAAGUCAGUGGUGAAAUCCCAUCGCUUAACGAUGGAACUGCCAUUGAUACUGUUAGUCUUGAAUGAGGGUGCAGUGGUUGGAAUGUGUAGUGUAGCGGUGAAAUGCAUAGAUAUUACACAGAACACCGAUUGCGAAGGCAGAUCACUAACCCUAAAUUGACGCUGAGGGACGAAAGCGUGGGGAGCGAACAGGAUUAGAUA
rnacentral:rRNA from 1 species